rnacentral:rRNA from 1 species
GUGCGUAACGCGUAUGCAACAUGCCUUCCAGCGGGGGAUAUACCAGGGAAACUUGGCGCAAUACCCCAUAGAAUUACGGGACCGCAUGGUCUUGUGAUUAAAACUCCGGUGCUGGGAGAUUGGCAUGCGUGACAUUAGCUAGUUGGCGGGGUAACGGCCCACCAAGGCGACGAUGUCUAGCUGGUCUGAGAGGAUGAUCAGCCACACUGGGACUGAGACACGGCCCAGACUCCUACGGGAGGCAGCAGUAGGGAAUAUUGGACAAUGGGGGGAACCCUGAUCCAGCCAUGCCGCGUGAGGGAAGAAGGUCCUCUGGAUUGUAAACCUCUUUUGGCAGGAAACAAACCUGCGCUAUACGCGCAGCUGAGGGUACCUGCAGAAUAAGCACCGGCUAACUCCGUG